rnacentral:rRNA from 1 species
CUAUCUACAGGCUUAACACAUGCAAGUCGAGGGGCAGCAUGGUCUUAGCUUGCUAAGGCCGAUGGCGACCGGCGCACGGGUGAGUAACGCGUAUCCAACCUGCCUUACACUCUUGGACAGCCUUCUGAAAGGGAGAUUAAUACAAGAUGUUAUCAUGAGUAAGCAUUUUCACAUGAUUAAAGGUUUACCGGUGUAAGAUGGGGAUGCGUUCCAUUAGAUAGUAGGCGGGGUAACGGCCCACCUAGUCUUCGAUGGAUAGGGGUUCUGAGAGGAAGGUCCCCCACAUUGGAACUGAGACACGGUCCAAACUCCUACGGGAGGCAGCAGUGAGGAAUAUUGGUCAAUGGACGAGAGUCUGAACCAGCCAAGUAGCGUGAAGGAUGAAGGUUCUAUGGAUUGUAAACUUCUUUUAUACGGGAAUAAACGAAUCCACGUGUGGAUUUUUGCAUGUACCGUAUGAAUAAGGAUCGGCUAACUCCGUGCCAGCAGCCGCGGUAAUACGGAGGAUCCGAGCGUUAUCCGGAUUUAUUGGGUUUAAAGGGAGCGUAGAUGGGUUGUUAAGUCAGUUGUGAAAGUUUGCGGCUCAACCGUAAAAUUGCAAUUGAUACUGGCAGUCUUGAGUACAGUUGAGGUAGGCGGAAUUCGUGGUGUAGCGGUGAAAUGCUUAGAUAUCACGAAGAACUCCGAUUGCGAAGGCAGCUUACUAACCUGUAACUGACAUUGAUGCUCGAAAGUGUGGGUAUCAAACAGGAUUAGAUACCCUGGUAGUCCACACGGUAAACGAUGAAUACUCGCUGUAGGCGAUAUACAGUCUGCGGCCAAGCGAAAGCAUUAAGUAUUCCACCUGGGGAGUACGCCGGCAACGGUGAAACUCAAAGGAAUUGACGGGGGCCCGCACAAGCGGAGGAACAUGUGGUUUAAUUCGAUGAUACGCGAGGAACCUUACCCGGGCUUAAAUUGCAACCGAAUAUGGCGGAAACGCUAUAGCUAGCAAUAGCGGUUGUGAAGGUGCUGCAUGGUUGUCGUCAGCUCGUGCCGUGAGGUGUCGGCUUAAGUGCCAUAACGAGCGCAACCCUUGCCGAUAGUUACUAACAGGUUAUGCUGAGGACUCUGUCGGGACUGCCAUCGUAAGAUGUGAGGAAGGUGGGGAUGACGUCAAAUCAGCACGGCCCUUACGUCCGGGGCUACACACGUGUUACAAUGGGGGGUACAGAGGGCUGCUACCACGCAAGUGGAUGCCAAUCCCAAAAACCUCUCUCAGUUCGGAUUGGAGUCUGCAACCCGACUUCAUGAAGCUGGAUUCGCUAGUAAUCGCGCAUCAGCCACGGCGCGGUGAAUACGUUCCCGGGCCUUGUACACACCGCCCGUCAAGCCAUGGGAGCCGGGGGUACCUGAAGUGCGUAACCGCAAGGAGCGCCCUAGGGUAAAACUGGUGACUGG